rnacentral:rRNA from 1 species
AGUGAACGCUGGCGGUAGGCCUAACACAUGCAAGUCGAACGGCAGCACAGUAAGAGCUUGCUCUUACGGGUGGCGAGUGGCGGACGGGUGAGGAAUACAUCGGAAUCUACUUUUUCGUGGGGGAUAACGUAGGGAAACUUACGCUAAUACCGCAUACGACCUACGGGUGAAAGCAGGGGAUCUUCGGACCUUGCGCGAUUGAAUGAGCCGAUGUCGGAUUAGCUAGUUGGCGGGGUAAAGGCCCACCAAGGCGACGAUCCGUAGCUGGUCUGAGAGGAUGAUCAGGCACACCUGAAACUGAGCAACGGUCAGACUCCUACGGGAGGCAGCAGUGGGGAAUAUUGGACAAUGGGCGCAAGCCUGAUCCAGCCAUACCGCGUGGGUGAAGAAGGCCUUCGGGUUGUAAAGCCCUUUUGUUGGGAAAGAAAAGCAGCAGGUUAAUACCCCGCUGUUCUGACGGUACCCAAAGAAUAAGCACCGGCUAACUUCGUG